rnacentral:rRNA from 1 species
AACGUAGGACGCAAGCGUUAUCCGGAGUUACUGGGCGUAAAGCGCGGGCAGGCGGUUCUGCCAGUCUGAUGUGAAAUCUCCUCGCUCAACGGGGAGCAGCCAUUGGAAACUACAGAACUGGAGUCUGGCAGAGGUAGGCGGAAUUCCGGGUGGAGUGGUGAAAUGCGUAGAGAUCCGGAGGAACACCAGAGGCGAAGGCGGCCUACUGGGCCAGUACUGACGCUGAGCCGCGAAAGCCAGGGGAGCGAAUGGG